CGCACGGGUGAGUAACACGUAUCCAACCUGCCGUCUACUCUUGGACAGCCUUCUGAAAGGAAGAUUAAUACAAGAUGGCAUCAUGAGUCCGCAUGUUCACAUGAUUAAAGGUGUUCCGGUAGACGAUGGGGAUGCGUUCCAUUAGAUAGUAGGCGGGGUAACGGCCCACCUAGUCAACGAUGGAUAGGGGUUCUGAGAGGAAGGUCCCCCACAUUGGAACUGAGACACGGUCCAA
rnacentral:rRNA from 1 species